UUCUGUAACUAUAUAUACUCUAUUUCAGAAGUGUGUAGAGCAAUAAAACCUCAUUAGGUAUGCAAAAGUGGUACCUGGUGAUCCACCAAUAUUUUAUGCCACUACCUUAGUUGGGUAUUAGUUUCAAUGUAAAAUUCUUUCUUUUCGUUGAUUGCAGUUAGUGCCACCCGGUUUUGGGUCAAUUUAUGAGUUUUGCCCAUUGUUACCCUCUGAUAAACAUUGAAAACGGUUCGCCAAAGGCGUGCAACUGGGACUUGUUUUUUACCUUAUAAUUAAUGUACUUAAAUGCUAUUUUAUUUUAGAAAGUUACUUUUGUUUAAAUGGAAUAAUAUAUUUUUUUCACAAAUUUAUUGAACAUAAUAUGUAGAGUAAAACAGUUGAAAAUGUCACUUUUGGAUCUGGCACUUUUUGAACAGUGUAUAACAAUUUUAAAUUAUAAUAGAUUGUAGUCUUCUUCGUCAUCUGACGAACUGUCAUCACCUCUUGACAUUAUAAUUAAAGGAUCGACUGUCUGAUCGAUGAGGUUGUCAAGAUCCCACAUUUUGUCGUCUUGCUUAAUUACAUGCUGGACUGCUUUUCGCCAAUUCUCUGGUGUCGCUUCCGUAAUGGCUUGAUCAAACAGUGCGCCCAUAUCAGUUCUAUAGGAUUUAGUUCGCAAUGAUAUGGCGGCCUCCUGCCAAUUUCCAGAGCCAAAUUCAACGAUUUGCAAAGUUUUAUGAAGUUUUGUAGCCCCUCUGCUGUCAAGUUCUUUCUCAAUCUACCCCAUGACUAAUUUAAUGCAAGUUAAAAUAUAAUUUAUUACAAUCACCUUACAUUGAUGUGGCUUUUUUUCAGGUCUGGAUCAAUCUGGAUACAACCGACAUCAUGGAAACUCGCUUUUUACUUUCUUAGAACAUAAUACUGUAAUUAUUUUUAUAAACAGUCUUUUGAUAAGCUCUCAUACUGAUUUUGUACCGUUUUUAACAUUAAAUUGUGUUUUUCUCA